UCUAUUUUAAUUCCUCUGGCUUUCUAGGCAAAAAGCAAGGGGAAAUAAUAAUAUAGCAAGAAUCUGUAACUGUGCAACUGCUUCUCAGUAAUCGAGAAAGAGCCCGGGGCUUCCCCUCAGGCCAAGUAACCAACAGAGCAUUCUCUAAGGACAACUCAUUAUUCUGCCUGGCUCAGAAUCCAAAGGGAGAUGAUGUAACCUGCCAAAGGCAACAAGUAACAAAACAGCAGUUGGAACUGGCAGACAAGUAAUCUUUCCUCCACGUGAAGCUUCUCAUCCAGAGCCUUUUCAUUCUGUCACUGGUU